CACAGAGAACUGUUGUGAAGAUUAAAGCAGAUCACAGAGACUUAAAGCUCUUGAAAAAAAAAAAGAAGAAGAGAAUCAGCCUUUUGGUCAAUAGAACUGUGCUUGAGAAGGUUUCCAACCAUUGCUCCCAUUGGUUUUGCUGAUGAAAUGAAAAGGAAAGGCUGACGACAUGUUGAUCUUUUUCAUUGGUUACGAUCUCGGCGAUACUGAACAUGU
rnacentral:lncRNA from 1 species